UUAGUAUUGGAUAUUAGUUAGAAUUGGUCCAAUACUAACUAAUAUAAAGCUAUAAAGCGAUCAACUAACAGAGAUCAACUUUUGAACUCGAUGUCUGACUCCGUUUCAUCACUUAACCUACAAGGUGUGAUAAGUCUGUUCAAUCAACCAACUUUGGGCUACAUCAGAAAGCAAGAAGCGAGAAUAUUUACAAAAAACAUUUUAAUUUAAUAAUGGUUGUGUUAUUUACUAAAACACACAAUUAAUUUAAUUACAUUUACAAAAACAAAUAAUAUUAUUAGAAAAUUAAUUUACUUUAUUAACUAUUAGUAGGCCUAUAUUGGUCACGGAAUUCUUAGUGUCAAUUUCUUUUGGUAACUAUCAAGGGCGACAAGAGAGAAGAGAAACUGGAACUGGAGUUCCAGGACCUUGAUCUGUAGAUAGUGAAAGAGAAAGAAGACAAAUUGAAGGCAUCAUGUCAGAAAAGGAGGAAGAGUCCAGGAGACCCUCUCUUCGGAGUCCAUGAUCGCUCUCCGUGGUUCUGGUUAUUAAAUAUUCUGUGGAAAACUUUCUGUUUUAAGCCGAAAAAAAUUAUUUUUAUAAUAUACAGUGGAGCGAAGAUUAUCCGAAAAUCAAUUAUUUGAAAAAUCGACUUCAGAGUACACUGAUUAGACUACAGAAAUUACGAAGUUGACAAUCUAUAGGUUUAAUAUUGAGUUGUCAUCUGUUAUAUGAAAUUGUCCCGCCCAAUUAUUUCGGAUAAUCGACACUCGAUUGCAUUAACUAUUAAAAUUCCGAUAUUUAUUUGAAAAUUGAUUUUCCUUUCACUAAUUUUAUAAAACAUUCGCAAAUCUACAAAUUCUGAAACACCGCAACUCCAAUCAUUUUAAAUUAAUUACUACGUAGAUAUAAUUUUAACAAUAAAAUUUAAUGUUACCUGAAAAAUAUGUAUAGUCCAUAAUGUUAUAGUAACAUACAAUAUAUUUAAAAAAUUACAUUAAUAUUUAUAAUUUUUCAAACAAAUUAAAAAUUAAAAGAAAAUAAUUUUUUCCCUUCCAUUUUUC